GCGAGGGCGAGUGGAACAGAGGUCGGAGACCUUGCUAAGCUGCUGGCCUUUUCACGUUUCGGACCCUGAGAAUAUGUCCACCGCAUUACAAAUGGGAUUCUCUGGCAUCU
ensembl:lncRNA novel transcript